rnacentral:rRNA from 1 species
GACGAACCGUCCGAACGUUAUUCGGAAUCACUGGGCUUAAAGGGUGCGUAGGCGGCGCGGAAAGUUGGGUGUGAAAUCCCUCGGCUUAACCGAGGAACUGCGCCCAAAACUACCGUGCUUGAGGGAGAUAGAGGUGAGCGGAACUUAGGGUGGAGCGGUGAAAUGCGUUGAUAUCCUAAGGAACACCGGUGGCGAAAGCGGCUCACUGGAUCUCACCUGACGCUGAGGCGCGAAAGCCAGGGGAGCAAACGGG